rnacentral:rRNA from 1 species
GUCGGAGACCAUACCACGUUGAAAGCACCGGUUCUCGUCCGAUCACCGUAGUUAAGCAACGUUGGGACCGGUCAGUACUUGCAUUGGGUACAAUAAUAUGCUUGAAAAUGUUUAGCUUAGGAG